GCCUCAGUGGCCAAGUGGUAAGGCAUCGAUCUCGUAAACCGAAGAUCAUUGGGUUCAACCCCCAUCUGAGGCA